AAAGCGCGCGUAGGUGGUUUGUUAAGUUGGAUGUGAAAUCCCCGGGCUCAACCUGGGAACUGCAUUCAAAACUGACUGACUAGAGUAUGGUAGAGGGUGGUGGAAUUUCCUGUGUAGCGGUGAAAUGCGUAGAUAUAGGAAGGAACACCAGUGGCGAAGGCGACCACCAGGACUGAUACUGACACUGAGGUGCGAAAGCGUGGGGAGCAAACAGGAUUAGAUACCCCUGU
rnacentral:rRNA from 1 species